GUUACAUGGAGCUGGACAGUUCUCUCGGUGAGAGCUCUCCCACCAGCUCCAGGGAAGGUCAUCCCACAGGUGAGGUUGCUGCCAUGGUCCUGGAGCUUCGGCACGAAGGAGAGCCCAGAGAAAUAGGAGAAGGUUUGGUUGGGCUGCUGGGAAGGGACGGCGGCCCCGGUCCAGGAGAAGGUGGGGAGUUUCCCCUCCCUACAUAUCCAGGGGGCUAAACAGACCAAGGUCGCCAGCUGGCCCUCCUCCAGGGGCUCUGGACUGUAGAUGACUGGCUU